UACAGAGGGUGCGAGCGUUAAUCGGAAUUACUGGGCGUAAAGCGUGCGUAGACGGUAGCGUAAGUCAGAUGUGAAAGCCCCGGGCUCAACCUGGGAACUGCAUUUGAGACUGCUCUGCUCGGGUGCGGAAGAGGGAAGCGGAAUUUCCGGUGUAGCGGUGAAAUGCGUAGAUAUCCGGAGGAACACCAGUGGCGAAAGCGGCCUCCUGGACCAUGCCUGACACUCAGACGCGAAAGCUAGGGUAGCAAACGGG
rnacentral:rRNA from 1 species